rnacentral:rRNA from 1 species
GGAUUAUUAAUAAAAUUAAAUGAUUUGGCGGUAUUUUAUCCUAAUAGGGGAAUUUGUUCUUUAAUCGAUAGUCCACGUUAAAUCUAACCUUAUUUAAAGUUUAUAUACCGUUGUUGUUAGGGUACUUUAAAUAAAUGUGAAGUGCCUGUGGAAAAAUUAUUUUAUUACUUCAAAUCAAGGUGUAGUAUAUGGUAGGGGUUGAAAUGAGUUACUUUGUUUAAAGAAUUGGAAAAUUAAGUUUAAAAUUUUAUUUGAGAUAGGAUUUAUUAGUAAAUUUUUUUUAAUAUGAUGAAUUGAAAUGGGCCCUAAAAUAUGUACAUAUCGCCCGUCACUCCAAUUUUGUUAUUGGAUAAGUCGUAACAAAGUAGAUGUAAGGGAACUUUAUCUAGAUUA